rnacentral:misc_RNA from 1 species
UCUCCGUUUGUGAACCAGCGGAGGGAUCAUUACCGAAGUUACCUUCAAAACCCACUGUGAACCUUACCUCUUGCCGCGUUGUCUCGGCGGGAGGCGGUGUGCGUCGCGCGCCCUAGCGGGCCGCGCCGCUCCCGUCCCCGCCGGCAGCGCCAAACUCUAAAUGCACAGCGGACUGUACGUUCUGAUUUACAAAAAAAAACAAGUUAAAACUUUCAACAACGGAUCUCUUGGUUCUG